rnacentral:rRNA from 1 species
UACCAGCACCCCGAGUGGUCGGGACGAUUAUUGGGCCUAAAGCAUCCGUAGCCGGUUCUACAAGUCUUCCGUUAAAUCCACCUGCUUAACAGAUGGGCUGCGGAGGAUACUAUAGAGCUAGGAGGCGGGAGAGGCAAGCGGUACUUAGUGGGUAGGGGUAAAAUCCGUUGAUCCAUUGAAGACCACCAGUGGCGAAGGCGGCUUGCCAGAACGCACUCGACGGUGAGGGAUGAAAGCUGGGGGAGCAAACGGGG